rnacentral:rRNA from 1 species
UACGUAGGGGGGCAAGCGUUGUCCGGAAUCAUUGGGCGUAAAGAGCGUGUAGGCGGCCCGAUUAGUCCGCUGUGAAAGUCCAGGGCUCAACCCUGGAAUGCCGGUGGAUACUGUCGGGCUAGAGUCCGGAAGGGGCGAGUGGAAUUCCUGGUGUAGCGGUGAAAUGCGCAGAUAUCAGGAGGAACACCAAUGGCGAAGGCAGCUCGCUGGGACGUGACUGACGCUGAGACGCGAAAGCGUGGGGAGCAAACAGG